rnacentral:lncRNA from 1 species
CGCCACAACACUAUGACAGCUAUGAUGUCACUAGGCAAUAGAAAUUUUCAGUUCCAUUAUAAUCUUGUGGGACCACUGUCAUAUAUGUGGUCCACUGUUGACUAAAACAUCAUUAUGCCACACAUGAAUGCAUUUAAAACAACCCUUCAAAGUAGGUAUUAAUGCCCAUAUAAUUCAAACAAAAAUACUUUAGAGAGCAAAGGGAGCCACUGACAUUAACACAAAGACAACCAGUGUAAACAGGGAUUGUCCUGGGCAAAGCAGGCUGUGUGGUCACCUGGUUCUGGUAUCUCCAGGUCAUGGACAAGAUCCCCACGGCAUGGAGAGUAUAAGUGAUCCACAUACUGAGAAGAAGCAGAGCUAUUCAAUCACAGGGAUGUCUGGCUCUAAAACUCACCUUUCUCUACACACCACGCUGCCUUUCUCUGUGCCUGCGUUCUUGUGUUCACUGCCUGGACAGGGGUUAGGGGUUUUCAUAGCCUUGGUAAGUAUGCAGCAAAUCCUAAAUGGAACCUCAGCACGUAAAACAAAUAAAAACAGAGCCAUUUUGGUUGAACUAGGCAAAUGGAUCUUGCAUUCUAUCUGUCCUCCCUCUAGCCUCCACUUUUACCUCCUGGGUGAAAAAGCCCUGGCUUGGCACUGGUUCCACAGGGAACACCAGAGUCAGCCACUUGUCCAGAGGUGGAGACAAGCCAAAUGGAAGGUAUCUGCAGGACGCAGGGAGGAUGGUGAUUGCUACAGGGUGAGAAACACAGUCGAGUUUGAAAGGUUUCCCUGUUUGAUUCUCUGCCACUCUUCCGUCCAUUUCCACCUGCAGAAUACCUGCCAGACUCUCGUGGAAUGCUUCGAACCUAUCUUCAGAUGGAGUGCUAGUGGCACCUGGGAGAAGUGGGUUAAUGAAGCGUUUGCUCAAACAUUAGUCUCUCUGCCACUGGAUAUUUUAGCUGAAAAAUAUUUUAUUGGAACUUUCCAACAAAAUCCUCCUGGAUAUAUUGAAAUAUUACAGCUCUUCAGCAGGAUCUGGACCUAUCAACUCCGUGACUACCC